rnacentral:rRNA from 1 species
GGGUUGUGAGGUUAAGCGACUAAGCGUACACGGUGGAUGCCCUGGCAGUCAGAGGCGAUGAAGGACGUGCUAAUCUGCGAAAAGCGUCGGUAAGGUGAUAUGAACCGUUACAGCCGGCGAUGUCCGAAUGGGGAAACCCAGUGCAAUUCGUUGCACUAUCGUUAACUGAAUACAUAGGUUAACGAGGCGAACCGGGGGAACUGAAACAUCUAAGUACCCCGAGGAAAAGAAAUCAACCGAGAUUCCCCCAGUAGCGGCGAGCGAACGGGGAGCAGCCCAGAGUCUGAAUCAGCUUGUGUGUUAGUGGAACGGUCUGGAAAGUCCGACGGUACAGGGUGAUAGUCCCGUACACCAAAAUGCACAGGCUGUGAACUCGAAGAGUAGGGCGGGACACGUGGUAUCCUGUCUGAAUAUGGGGGGACCAUCCUCCAAGGCUAAAUACUCCUGACUGACCGAUAGUGAACCAGUACCGUGAGGGAAAGGCGAAAAGAACCCCGGCGAGGGGAGUGAAAAAGAACCUGAAACCGUGUACGUACAAGCAGUGGGAGCACCUUCGGGUGUGACUGCGUACCUUUUGUAUAAUGGGUCAGCGACUUAUAUUCUGUAGCAAGGUUAACCGUAUAGGGGAGCCGCAGGGAAACCGAGUCUUAACUGGGCGUUAAGUUGCAGGGUAUAGACCCGAAACCCGGUGAUCUAGCCAUGGGCAGGUUGAAGGUUGGGUAACACUAACUGGAGGACCGAACCGACUAAUGUUGAAAAAUUAGCGGAUGACUUGUGGCUGGGGGUGAAAGGCCAAUCAAACCGGGAGAUAGCUGGUUCUCCCCGAAAGCUAUUUAGGUAGCGCCUCGUGAAUUCAUCUUCGGGGGUAGAGCACUGUUUCGGCUAGGGGGUCAUCCCGACUUACCAACCCGAUGCAAACUGCGAAUACCGAAGAAUGUUAUCACGGGAGACACACGGCGGGUGCUAACGUCCGUCGUGAAGAGGGAAACAACCCAGACCGCCAGCUAAGGUCCCAAAGUCAUGGUUAAGUGGGAAACGAUGUGGGAAGGCACAGACAGCCAGGAUGUUGGCUUAGAAGCAGCCAUCAUUUAAAGAAAGCGUAAUAGCUCACUGGUCGAGUCGGCCUGCGCGGAAGAUGUAACGGGGCUAAACCAUGCACCGAAGCUGCGGCAGCGACACUAUGUGUUGUUGGGUAGGGGAGCGUUCUGUAAGCCUGCGAAGGUGUGCUGUGAGGCAUGCUGGAGGUAUCAGAAGUGCGAAUGCUGACAUAAGUAACGAUAAAGCGGGUGAAAAGCCCGCUCGCCGGAAGACCAAGGGUUCCUGUCCAACGUUAAUCGGGGCAGGGUGAGUCGACCCCUAAGGCGAGGCCGAAAGGCGUAGUCGAUGGGAAACAGGUUAAUAUUCCUGUACUUGGUGUUACUGCGAAGGGGGGACGGAGAAGGCUAUGUUAGCCGGGCGACGGUUGUCCCGGUUUAAGCAUGUAGGCUGGUUGUCCAGGCAAAUCCGGAUAAUCAAGGCUGAGGUGUGAUGACGAGGCACUACGGUGCUGAAGUAACAAAUGCCCUGCUUCCAGGAAAAGCCUCUAAGCAUCAGGUAACAUCAAAUCGUACCCCAAACCGACACAGGUGGUCAGGUAGAGAAUACCAAGGCGCUUGAGAGAACUCGGGUGAAGGAACUAGGCAAAAUGGUGCCGUAACUUCGGGAGAAGGCACGCUGGUGUGUAGGUGAAGUCCCUGCGGAUGGAGCUGAGACCAGUCGAAGAUACCAGCUGGCUGCAACUGUUUAUUAAAAACACAGCACUGUGCAAACACGAAAGUGGACGUAUACGGUGUGACGCCUGCCCGGUGCCGGAAGGUUAAUUGAUGGGGUUAUCCGUAAGGAGAAGCUCUUGAUCGAAGCCCCGGUAAACGGCGGCCGUAACUAUAACGGUCCUAAGGUAGCGAAAUUCCUUGUCGGGUAAGUUCCGACCUGCACGAAUGGCGUAAUGAUGGCCAGGCUGUCUCCACCCGAGACUCAGUGAAAUUGAACUCGCUGUGAAGAUGCAGUGUACCCGCGGCAAGACGGAAAGACCCCGUGAACCUUUACUAUAGCUUGACACUGAACAUUGAGCCUUGAUGUGUAGGAUAGGUGGGAGGCUUUGAAGCGUGGACGCCAGUCUGCGUGGAGCCAACCUUGAAAUACCACCCUUUAAUGUUUGAUGUUCUAACGUUGGCCCCUUACCGGGGUUGCGGACAGUGUCUGGUGGGUAGUUUGACUGGGGCGGUCUCCUCCCAAAGCGUAACGGAGGAGCACGAAGGUUAGCUAAUCCUGGUCGGACAUCAGGAGGUUAGUGCAAUGGCAUAAGCUAGCUUGACUGCGAGCGUGACGGCGCGAGCAGGUGCGAAAGCAGGUCAUAGUGAUCCGGUGGUUCUGAAUGGAAGGGCCAUCGCUCAACGGAUAAAAGGUACUCCGGGGAUAACAGGCUGAUACCGCCCAAGAGUUCAUAUCGACGGCGGUGUUUGGCACCUCGAUGUCGGCUCAUCACAUCCUGGGGCUGAAGUAGGUCCCAAGGGUAUGGCUGUUCGCCAUUUAAAGUGGUACGCGAGCUGGGUUUAGAACGUCGUGAGACAGUUCGGUCCCUAUCUGCCGUGGGCGCUGGAGAAUUGAGGGGGGCUGCUCCUAGUACGAGAGGACCGGAGUGGACGCAUCACUGGUGUUCGGGUUGUCAUGCCAAUGGCACUGCCCGGUAGCUAAAUGCGGAAGAGAUAAGUGCUGAAAGCAUCUAAGCACGAAACUUGCCCCGAGAUGAGUUCUCCCUGAGACUUUAAGUCUCCUGAAGGAACGUUAAAGACGAUGACGUUGAUAGGCCGGGUGUGUAAGCGCAGCGAUGCGUUGAGCUAACCGGUACUAAUGAACCGUGAGGCUUAACCUUACAACGCCGAAG